rnacentral:rRNA from 1 species
UCAUGGCUCAGAUUGAACGCUGGCGGCAGGCCUAACACAUGCAAGUCGAGCGGUAGAGAGAAGCUUGCUUCUCUUGAGAGCGGCGGACGGGUGAGUAAUGCCUAGGAAUCUGCCUGGUAGUGGGGGAUAACGUUCGGAAACGGACGCUAAUACCGCAUACGUCCUACGGGAGAAAGCAGGGGACCUUCGGGCCUUGCGCUAUCAGAUGAGCCUAGGUCGGAUUAGCUAGUUGGUGGGGUAAUGGCUCACCAAGGCGACGAUCCGUAACUGGUCUGAGAGGAUGAUCAGUCACACUGGAACUGAGACACGGUCCAGACUCCUACGGGAGGCAGCAGUGGGGAAUAUUGGACAAUGGGCGAAAGCCUGAUCCAGCCAUGCCGCGUGUGUGAAGAAGGUCUUCGGAUUGUAAAGCACUUUAAGUUGGGAGGAAGGGCAUUAACCUAAUACGUKAGUGUUUUGACGUUACCGACAGAAUAAGCACCGGCUAACUCUGUGCCAGCAGCCGCGGUAAUACAGAGGGUGCAAGCGUUAAUCGGAAUUACUGGGCGUAAAGCGCGCGUAGGUGGUUUGUUAAGUUGGAUGUGAAAUCCCCGGGCUCAACCUGGGAACUGCAUUCAAAACUGACUGACUAGAGUAUGGUAGAGGGUGGUGGAAUUUCCUGUGUAGCGGUGAAAUGCGUAGAUAUAGGAAGGAACACCAGUGGCGAAGGCGACCACC